UACGUAGGAGGCGAGCGUUGUCCGGAUUUACUGGGCGUAAAGCGCGCGCAGGCGGCACUUCAAGUAAGGUGUGAAAUCUCCCUGCUCAACGGGGAGGGUGCACUUUAGACUGAGAAGCUAGAGGACGGUAGAGGGGGGUGGAAUUGCUGGUGUAGCGGUGAAAUGCGUAGAGAUCAGCAGGAACACCCGUGGCGAAGGCGGCCCCCUGGGCCGUACCUGACGCUGAGGCGCGAAGGCUAGGGGAGCGAACGGG
rnacentral:rRNA from 1 species